rnacentral:lncRNA from 1 species
AAGAGUUAGCAAGAAGUCGCUACCCUGCAGGCAACGUUGUGACAUCUCCAGAGAAAUGAUUACACUGGGAAGAAUGACAUAGUAGCCGGCAAUGGGUGUCAGACUGCAACACAGAGAGGGAAAUGAUGCGAA